AGAGUUUGAUCCUGGCUCAGGAUGAACGCUAGCGACAGGCUUAACACAUGCAAGUCGAGGGGCAGCGGGGAGUGAGGCUUGCCUUACUCUGCCGGCGACCGGCGCACGGGUGAGUAACACGUAUGCAACCUACCCUUUACAGCGGGAUAACCGGAAGAAAUUUCGCCUAAUACCGCAUAUACUCCUUGGGAGGCAUCUUCCGAGGGGGAAAGAAUUUCGGUGAAGGAUGGGCAUGCGUCGCAUUAGUUAGUUGGCGGUGUAACGGACCACCAAGACGACGAUGCGUAGGGGUUCUGAGAGGAAGAUCCCCCACACUGGUACUGAGACACGGACCAGACUCCUACGGGAGGCAGCAGUGAGGAAUAUUGGUCAAUGGCCGAGAGGCUGAACCAGCCAAGUCGCGUGAGGGAAGAAUGUCCUAUGGAUUGUAAACCUCUUUUGUCAGGGAGCAAAGUCACCCACGCGUGGGUGUUGGAGAGUACCUGAAGAAAAAGCAUCGGCUAACUCCGUGCCAGCAGCCGCGGUAAUACGGAGGAUGCGAGCGUUAUCCGGAUUUAUUGGGUUUAAAGGGUGCGUAGGCGGGUUAUCAAGUCAGCGGUAAAAUCGUGGAGCUCAACUCCAUCCAGCCGUUGAAACUGAUGAUCUUGAGUGGGCGAGAAGUAUGCGGAAUGCGUGGUGUAGCGGUGAAAUGCAUAGAUAUCACGCAGAACUCCGAUUGCGAAGGCAGCAUACCGGCGCCCGACUGACGCUGAAGCACGAAAGCGUGGGUAUCGAACAGGAUUAGAUACCCUGGUAGUCCACGCAGUAAACGAUGAAUACUAAUUGUGUGCUCCGAAUGAGGAGUGCGUGAUACAGCGAAAGCGUUAAGUAUUCCACCUGGGGAGUACGCCGGCAACGGUGAAACUCAAAGGAAUUGACGGGGGCCCGCACAAGCGGAGGAACAUGUGGUUUAAUUCGAUGAUACGCGAGGAACCUUACCCGGGCUCAAACGCAGGAGGGAUGUUUUUGAAAGGAGGCAGCUCUACGGAGUCUCCUGCGAGGUGCUGCAUGGUUGUCGUCAGCUCGUGCCGUGAGGUGUCGGCUUAAGUGCCAUAACGAGCGCAACCCCUACCGCCAGUUGCCAACGGGUAAAGCCGGGAACUCUGGCGGGACUGCCGGCGCAAGCUGUGAGGAAGGCGGGGAUGACGUCAAAUCAGCACGGCCCUUACGUCCGGGGCGACACACGUGUUACAAUGGCAGGUACAGCGGGAAGCCACUUGGCGACAAGGCGCGGAACCCGAAAACCUGUCUCAGUUCGGAUUGGAGUCUGCAACCCGACUCCAUGAAGCUGGAUUCGCUAGUAAUCGCGCAUCAGCCACGGCGCGGUGAAUACGUUCCCGGGCCUUGUACACACCGCCCG
rnacentral:rRNA from 1 species